GAUGAAGAACGUAGCGAAAUGCGAUACGUAAUGUGAAUUGCAGAAUUCAGUGAAUCAUCGAGUCUUUGAACGCACAUUGCGCCCGCCAGUAUUCUGGCGGGCAUGCCUGUUCGAGCGUCAUUUCAACCAUCAAGCCCCGGGCUUGUGUUGGGGACCUGCGGCUGCCGCAGGCCCUGAAAUGCAGUGGCGGGCUCGCUGUCACUCCGAGCGUAGUAGUUACAUCUCGCUCUGGGCGUGCUGCGGGUUCCGGCCGUUAAAAGCCUUAUUUACCCAAGGUUGACCUCGGAUCAGGUAGGAAGACCCGCUGAACUUAAGCAUAUCAAUAAGCGGAGGA
rnacentral:misc_RNA from 1 species